rnacentral:lncRNA from 1 species
GGGUAUGCUGAUUGGAUGCUACAGAUAUCCCGACAUGUGCAACACUGAUAAUACAUAGCUACAGACUGUCAUCUUUGUUAGGGGUAGUAACAACAGGCAUGCUGAUUUGAUGCUACAGACAUCCCGACAACACGUGCAAUACUCAUAAUAUACAGGUAUGGACUGUAAUCUUUGUUAGGAAGUUUUAGGUAAAUCUGAUUCAUUACACUGGUGAUCAGUGGACACUACUGCAUUUUUUACCUUGUGAAUAUCUUUUUGCAUGUUGAAGUGUGGUUUCAUGACUUGGCUAGUUGAUCGUUGCAACCCCUAAGAAGGAUGCUUCUAUGAGAAUUUUGGUUCAACCUUGAAUGUUAGAUGAACUCUACCGUGGUGAUUGAACAGCCGUUUGAUAGAGGAAAAUGAAGUAAAGAAACAAUUUAGUUCCAUGUAUUUUUUUAUCUUGCAAUACAAGUUUGUCUCAUUCUAUUGUUGGUGUUUGGCCGAUUCAGUCAUUUUUGUAGAAAAAGAAAGUAGACAGAAAAAGAUGACAAGGUGAAAUUAGUCUGCAUAGUACUGAAUUUUGUUUGGUUACUAUUAUUAUUACUUACCUUGAUAUUUCUUGUUUGAAAGUGUUGUCUUUCUUUGUGAUUUAGACUAUGUUUGAGAAGACUAUUUUUUGAGUUUAUAGAUUAUAAAUUCUUAUGUUUUAAAAACACUAAUUUUG